rnacentral:rRNA from 1 species
ACCAGACGAUGCGGUUACCGCGGCUGCUGGCACGGAGUUAGCCGGUGCUUCUUCUGUGAGUGAUGUCCUUCCUGCCGGCUAUUAACCCGCAGGCCUUCUUCCUCACUGAAAGUGCUUUACAACCCGAAGGCCUUCUUCACACACGCGGCAUGGCUGGAUCAGGGUUGCCCCCAUUGUCCAAUAUUCCCCACUGCUGCCUCCCGUAGGAGUCUGGGCCGUGUCUCAGUCCCAGUGUGGCUGAUAAUCCUCUCAGACCAGCUACGGAUCGUCGCCUUGGUGAGCCGUUACCUCACCAACCAGCUAAUCCGACAUAGGCUCAUCCGAUAGCGCGAGGCCCGAAGGUCCCCCGCUUUCCCCCGUAGGGCGUAUGCGGUAUUAGCCUGGGUUUCCCCAGGUUAUCCCCCACUACCGGGCAGAUUCCUAUGCAUUACUCACCCGUCCGCCGCUCGCCACCAGGGAGCAAGCUCCCCGUGCUGCCGCUCGACUUGCAUGUGUUAGGCCUGCCGCCAGCGUUCAAU